CACUGUUUUUGCCAAUGAGGUUAAUCCAAGGCGUGGUUAUUGCUAAUUGAAAACUUUUCCCAAUACCCUGCCAUGAUAACUUGAAAUAUAGUCAGUAUUGGCAUUUUUUUGACAGACUCUACAGAGA